AUGGUGCUCAUAGAGAGAGAGUUCAGCAUAAAAGGACCCCCAGAGGCCGCUGGCCGUAACACAAGCCAGCCACAAAGUCACACUCACACCGAGUCACCGACCACUCCACUCCACAUCCAAAAUGGCCGCCGUGACGUUCGAAGAGGAGGUCUCCAGGCUGGCUGCCGGCGCAGCGGCCGUCUCGCCGGCGCUGGUGAGGACGGCCGUGGGGGCACUGGCACGCAGCAGCGCCGCCCGCCCGCUGCCGAUGCCCUGUUCCAUCUCUUCGCCGGCACCAUAAGCGUCGUCUUCGUCGCAACAUUCCUCUACCUCGUCGUGUUCCGGGCCUGCGUCGGGAACUGCGCCGUGGCCUCGGUAGUUUGGGAGAUCUUGGUUUAUUCUGGUUUGCUCUCCCUGCUACUCAUGGUGCCAGCGAUGGUGCUCUUCUUCCUGCGCGCCGCCGGCAGCGGCACCGAGGAUGAUGUGGAUGGUCGCGUCCGUCGGUGGCCGCUAAUCUGGGACGCGGCUGUGGCGUUCUUCCACCUGGCGGCCUUUGUGGGACUCAUUGGUCUCGUUCUUCUAAUCUGUGGCAGGUUUCAAGAGGUUUCUUACCUUCUCCGCACUGCGGCUGUGCUGUGCAAGCUCCUACUCACCGUGCUCUUCUCCAUCCGUGCUGCUGUGGCGCUGUGGAGGAUGAAUCCUCAGCAGCCGGCUGCAGUUGCUGUUGCGGUAGUUCACUCACUAUGCUUCUUUGGUUACUCUGAACUCUCUGAAGUACCGAACCUAUCCCUAAGUAACACAGGUCCAUUGUUUACCUAUGCCCAUAUGCGUGUCAGCGAUCAAGUGCCUCCUGGCGAACCGGUGAAGCGGGAAGCAGCAGUCCAAGUUCCAGCCAGGCCUCGUCGCAAGCCUCAGCGGCCCGCUAGGCUUGCUGGGCCUGAAGAGAGUAGUGUUGACAAUCUGGUAUCAGAGCCCUUCGAUCCAUCGACCCUUCCGACUCACCACCGGCACACGCGGCUCGCCGAGCGGCUGCGAGCGGCGGCGAUGGAGCGCAUCCCGCCGGAGACGAAGGCGAUCUACGACCUCCUGCGUGCCGACUUCGACAAGCCGCGGAUCCGCACGGCGCACCUGCAACUCCUUCUCGAGCGUCGGGCCAAAAUUUUUCCAGUUCUGAAGCGCUUCGCUCUGGGGCUGAAAAUCGGGACCCCGCUCAUCGGGCGUAUGUUCCGCCUCCAAUCAGAGUUGGCUAUCUUACAUGAGGAGUUGGGAACAAGCUCGGUUGGCCCGUCCAUGGCUAGUGCUAACCGUAGAGCUUCUGCGUUGCCAUUGCCUCCCCCUCCACAGUCCUCGUCGUCUAGUACAGUUGCUGUUCGUGCGGUUGAUGAUAAGAAGGCUACAGAGAUUUUCAAAAAACCUGCUCCUGACGAUAAGUGGAGUGCUCUGCGUGCUUAUAGGAGAGCUAAGGGGUUGUGCUUUGUGUGUGGAGAGCGCUGGGGUAAGGAUCACGUUUGUAAGCAAGAAGUCCAACUGCAUGUUGUGCAGGAAAUGCUGGAUUAUGUGCAGAAUCUUCCACAUGAGUUGGCAACUUACACUGAGACAGAUACAGUUUCUGAAGCCAACGCUAUGUCAUUAUCUGCUGCAGCUCUGGGUGAUACAUCUGCAACUCCUACUAUGACAAUGAAGAUGAAAAUUCAGUUGCAAGGCCGUACAUUAACGUUUCUGGUUGAUUCAGGUAGCUCUCAUACAUUUUUGAACUGUGCAGUAGCUGAGUUGCUGUCAGAAGUAUCAGACAGGCCUGUUUCCAUGGUCAGAAUUGUCAAUGGCAAGUUAAUUCCUUGUUCUAAACAACUAUUGCAAGGCAGGUGGACUUGUGGUGGUCAUAAGUUUGUCAAUAAUUUUAGGGUUUUUCCCUUGGGCUCCUAUGAUGGAAUUUUGGGCAUUGAUUGGCUAGCUGCACACAGCCCUAUACAGGCCGGGCGCCGAGGGACUGAUCGAGCAGCUAGGGGAAAGCAGCCGAUCAACGUUGGGAUCCUUUCACGCUUCAGGAAAUGGGGUAGGAGCGUUGCACAUGGCCUGCCGAGAAGAUAG
rnacentral:rRNA from 1 species